GGGUGCUAGCUGCAGAGUGCAGUGAAGCAGGUUAAUCGAACAUCGCCGGUCGGGCCGCCAGCG
rnacentral:ncRNA from 12 species